CUUGCUCCUCUGACGUUAGCGGCGGACGGGUGAGUAACACGUGGAUAACCUACCUAUAAGACUGGGAUAACUUCGGGAAACCGGAGCUAAUACCGGAUAAUAUAUUGAACCGCAUGGUUCAAUAGUGAAAGACGGUUUUGCUGUCACUUAUAGAUGGAUCCGGCCGCCGCAUUAGCUAGUUGGUAAGGUAACGGGCUUACCAAGGGGCAACGAUGCGUAGCCCGACCUGGAGAAGGGGUGAUCGGCCACACUGGGAACUGGAGACACGGGUCCAGGACUCCUACGGGGGAGGCAGCAGGUAGGGAAUCUUUCCGCAAUGGGGCGAAAGCCUGACGGGAGCAACGGCCGCGUGAAGUGAUGGAAGGUCUUCGGGAUCGUAAAAACUCUGUUUAUUAGGGGAAGAACAAAAUGUGUAAAGUAACUAUGGCACGAUCUUGAACGGUUACCUAAAUCAGAAAAGCCACGGGCUAAACUAACGUGGCCAGCCAGCCCGCGGGUAAAUACGUUAGGUUGGCCAAGCGUUUAAUCCGGGAAUUAAUUGGGGCGGUAAAGCGGCGCGUUAGGCCGGUUUUUUUUAAGGUCUGGAUGUUGAAAAGCCCCACGCGCCUCAAACCGGUGGGAGGGUUCAUUUGGGAAAACUGGGAAAACCUUGAAGUGCCAGAAAAAGGGAAA
rnacentral:rRNA from 1 species